CAUGGUUUUGUUGCUAAGCGAAUGCUUGUUAGCCAGCAUAGUGAUGGUGGUCAUUUAUACGCAUUUUCCGUUUUUGUCGUAUCAUGCCAAGUUGUUACAGUCAUGCUAAAAUGGUACGAAUGAACUUCCAGUAGUACUGUAAUAGGGGUGUAACCAUAGGCAUAUUGUCUAUGGGUGUAACGGUACAUGCCUCUGUAUUUGGAUUUGUCUAUACGGAACUUUGGUUUAGAACGGAGGCGUACAGAGUUCCAACACGGAACAGUAACAGCCUUGCACAUAUUGGCUGUGUCCUCAUACUGGUGUUAUUCCCAACAUGUAGUGGUCACUCCAUUUUCCAGGGUUGUCCGAAUUUCCAUAGAGAAAAAAGUAGUACACUCAAAAUUACUUGGAAAAGUAGUGAGCAUCGAUGAUCAUUAGACGGGUCAAAAUAGAUCACAAUGCAUUGCGGGCAGGAACUCUAAACAUCGCAAGAAGGAGGCAAAGAAAUUGAUUGAACAAAAUUAAAAUAAAAUUGAAUAAACAACAAAGAAAGAAUGAAAAACAACAUAAAGAAAUAUUUUCACACAGAAGCCUGGAUUGGAUUGGAAACGAUAUCUUGGCAUGAGUUGCGGUUGCCGUGGUGACAGCUGGUAGUCACGUGAUCUGCGGCAAGGAAAAAAAUAGCCAGCUUCGUGUCCGAAUCGCAAACAGAAUGAGGGAACUAUAUAGUCUGCUAUAUACAAUUGAGUGCAGCCCUGCCUCUGGCUAGCGGACCUCAUGGUUAGUCCUGCAACUGCAAAGAAUAUAUUAAACUGUAAAUCCAUCAGAUUACUUACAUUUACAUUUUUUCUUCAUAGAGGACCAGCCAUGGCUACGUUUAAUUCAUUCGUCCCACAAGAUGAUGACUUUUGGGAAUUCCUUAAGAAUCGAGGGAUCCCUCAGGAAAAAAUUCAUAAAAUGCAGCAGGAUCAUAUUGACAGCUCCGUUGCUGGAGAAUUAGAUGAUGCUGCCAUGGCUGCUUACAUUCCAACUUAUGGGGAUAGGAUUGCCACAAGGUGUUUUUGUAUGGAUCAACAGAGAAGAGGUGAACAUGACCAAAGAAGACUUUCUCUGUUUGAAAAGCUUAGAAGAAAGAUGGCCACAAAGACCAACAAAGACAACAGUCAAGAUGCUGAGGAGGAGAAUAGCUUGCAGCCAACAAAAAAAUAUCUAAGGAAUAAUAAAAGAGCCUUGAAGAUGACAAGAAAAAUAGAAAUAGGAUGGAUUCAUGAAAAGAGACAAGUUAGAAAACGCUGUGGUGGAGGAACCAGAGUUCUUGAUAUUUCCAAA